GGUUGGUUCCUGUGGCGGUAGGUAGGCUGGGAGAGAGGAACUUGUGGGAGCUGGUUUACAGUGUUCUGUCAAUUUUCUACUGUACAGCAAGGUGACCCAAUUGCACAUACAGGAGAAAAACAUCUAAAAUCUGUGAACUCAGAAGUAUCCUGAUGAAGAGCAUGGGCUCUGGAAUCACUCUGCCUUUGGCUUGAAUCCAGACCCUUCACAUGGAAUCACCUCAGGAAAACUCGCCCCACACCAGUUGCUUUGAGAAGUUCAUCUGAAGGAUGAAAGCAGCACACACAGUCACUGCAGAAGAGUAGGUCAAAGAAGAAAUGUGGGCAGGCUUUCGUAGGUGAGAGAAUCUAGCUCCUGACUGUGAAGAGACUAGAAAACCAAGGCACAGAGAGACUGAGUAACCUGCAAAAGAUAUGAAGCCACUAAAUGGGAGAGCCUGGAUCUGACUCAAGUGAGUCUGGUUCUGGAGAGUCCAUGCUCUGCACUGCCUCCUGUGUGUUUUCUUCCAUUGUCUCUUAGUACUCCAUAGUCUCUUGUUAAAGAGUUAGCCUAUCCCAGGGAGACUUUAAAACGGUUGUUUUGGGCUAAAGCACUAGAAAAGGUGUUAUCUGGGUUUGAGGGUAAGGUGUGGAGCAUGACCAGGGGAGGGCAGAACGGUCAUCAUCUGCACUAGCUAAUCUAAGGGAAAAGCAAAACCAACAGAGGAGAACAGCUGGUCAGUGUCCCUCCCUGGACAAAAGUUCUCCUUCCAGGGCUCACUGAUUCUACCCAUCUAAGGAAGAAAGCAGCUGCUCAUAGCCCUCUCCUCUCCUUGCCCUCCUCAGGCUUCCAGCUACCCCCUCUUGCUGAAUACUAUUCUUUUUUUCAUCCCUGUGCCACUGUUCUAGCUUUUCUUCUAAUAUUCUGACCACCCUUUUGGUGGUUUAUUUCAUUUCAUGUUAUUUUGUCUUUUUAAGGCCACACCAGUGGCACAUGGAGGUUCCCAGACUAGGGGUCAAAUUGGUCGAAUUAGCCUCCAGCCUACGCCACAGCCAUAGCCACACCAGAUUCAAGCCGCAUCCACAACCUAUGCUGCAGCUUGUGGUAAUGCCCUGGAUCCUUUAACCCACUAAGCAAGGGCAGGAAUUGAACCUGUAUCCUCAUGGAUACUAGUCAUGUUCUUAACCCACUAAACCACAACUGGAACUCUGGUGGGUUUAUUUAUUUAUUUAUUAGGGUCUAAUUGGAGCUGUAGCUGCCAGCCUACUCCAGAGCCAAAGCAAUGCCAGAUCUGAUCCGCAUCUGCGACCUACAGCACAGCUCGCGGCAAUGCCGGAUCCUUAACCCACUGAGCAAGGCCAGGGAUUGAACCCAAAACCUCAUGGUUCCUAGUCGGAUUCGUUUCUGCUAUGCUAUGAUGGGAACUCCCUGGUGCGUUUAUUUUUAAUUGAGCUUCUUCUACUUGCUACCUUAUAACUGGGUUGUAUCCUGUGUAGCUUCAGUCCUUGGUCUGCAUUGUCUCCUGAUGCUGAGAACUCAUGGGUUUAACUAUCGCUAUGAGGCAAUGUUCUCCAAAUCUAGAGCCUCUUCAGAGUGGCUGAUCCCAUCUCCAGCAAUGGGUGAGGUAUAUUUUUACUCACGUAUCAUUUUACCUCAAAUUUUAGAAAUCCAAAAUGAAGUGAAUUGUCUAUACAUCCUCUUCUGUCACUGUCAGGCAUGGAGGGAUAACCUGGAGUGGACUGGCCUUAUCUCCUCUUGCCUCCAGCCAUGCUGUUGUUCAGCAUGUCUCAUCAUGCCUUCACCUAGCAAGAUUUCAUUUUCUUACUCCCUGCUAUAGAUGGAAUGUUUGCAUCUCUCCAAAAUUGAUAUGUUGAAACCUAAUCCCCAAUGUGACAAUGUGAUGGUAUUUGGAAGUGAGUCCUCAAAAGGGCAAUCAGGGCCUUAGGGUGGAGCCCUUAUGAAUGCGAUUAGUGCCCUUAGAAAAGAGACCUCAGAGAGUUCCCUUGAGCUUUUCACUGUAAGAGUGCACAGUGAAAAGACAGUUGCCUGCAUAUGGAUGGUCUUGAAAAGCCCAACAUCACUAAUUAUUAGAAAAAUACAAAUGAAAACUACAAUGAGGUACCACCUCACACUGGUCAGAAUGGCUAUGAGGUACCACCUCACACUGGUCAGAAUGGCUAUCAUUAAUAAGUCUGCAAAAAACACAUGCUGGAGAGGGUGAGGAGAAAAGGGAACUGGUGGUAGGAAUGUAAAUUGGUAUAACCACUAUGGAAAACAGUAUGAAAUUUCCUCAGAAAACUGAAAAUAGAACUACCAUAUGAUCCAGCAAUCCCACUCCUGAGCAUACAUCUGGACAAAACUAUAAUUCAAAGAGAUACAUGCACCACUAUGUUCACUGAAGCAGUAUUUGCAAUAAUCAAGUCAUGGAAACAGACAUCUAUCAACAGAUGAAUGGAUUAAGAAAAUGUGCAUAUACACAGUAGAUAUUACUUAGCCAUAAAAAAGAACAAAAUAAUGCCAUUUGCAGUUAACGUGGGUGCAACUAGAGAUUAUCAUGCUAAGUGAAGUAAGUCAAACAGAAAGACAAAUACCAUAUUGAUAUCACUUAUAUGUGGACUCUAAAAUGUGGCACAAAAUGUCCUAUCUACAUCAAAAACAGACUCACAGACAUAGAGAACAAACUUGUGGUUGCCAAGGGGAGAGCGGGUAGAGGAGGGAUAGACUAGGAGUUUGGGAUGAGUAGAUGCAAACUAUUAUAUUCAGAAUGGAUAAACAAUAAGGUCCUACUGUGCAGCCCAGGGAGCUAUAUCCAAUGUCCUGGGAUAGACCAUGAUGGAAAGUAAUAUAAAAGAAAGAAUGUAUAUAACUGAGUCACUGCUAUACAGCAGAAAUUGGCACAACAUUGUAAAUCAACUAUAAUAAAAAAAAAAAAAAAAA
rnacentral:lncRNA from 1 species